CAAGAAACAACCAUAUUCCCGAAUUCUUGAGGUCCACUCCGAAGUAUGUAUUCCCAGACACGUUUGGUCAUCUUACAGAGUUUAUUGGAAAGUCCAUCACCAAUUAAUCAACGAACUCUGUUAUUGUUUGAACAAAACAAGUGGUGCUCCGUUUCGAAUUAAAGCUAGAUUUGAAACAGAUUGUUAAAACAUAUACCCAAUAUGUUACCAGAUAUAUAAACUCGCUAGAUAAACAUACAGUUGUAAAUGUAUUAUAUACUAAAUAUUUUGCAGGCACUUUCCAUAUCAUUAUUGUUGCAAGAUGAGUAAGAUAUUUGUUAUCGGUUUAUUAUUCUUAUAUGUUAUGAGUAUUUUAUUCACAAUAAAUAAUCUAUAGGAU
rnacentral:misc_RNA from 1 species